rnacentral:misc_RNA from 1 species
AAAAUCAACAAUCAAUUUCAUCAUAAACCAUCAAAGUUGGAGACAAAUUGAUACACAAAUGACAAAACACAAUACCCAAUCAUAGAAAAUAAAAACCAAUAAUUGAUAUAAAAAGUGAGAAAUGGAAGAAUGUUGCGAAUCUUGCAAUACUCAACACUGCAAGUGCUGCUUUAUUGGCAUGAGGUUGUGAAUUGAUGAUGGUUUGAGGCAAAUACUGGUCACCGAAAGUGCAUCAAAGAGCAAAAGCACAUUGCCUAGGCGUCUAGUUGUCUAGUCCUCGAAAUUGAAAGUGACUCAUCAGUGGUCCAAAAUAUGAGAUACACACACAAAUAAAGAAGAGAAGAGAGCAAAAAAAAAAAAAAAAA